CGGUACUGGCGACCUGUUUCUCAGACUUGCGACCCGCGAAGAAGACCUGACAAUAUCUCCUCCGUCCGACUAUUUCCCAGUGGCGGACCACCAGCGAUAGGACCGUCUCGACAUCGCGACCAAGCCUAUGGCUUGCCUUUCCACUGACGAGCCCCAGCGAAGUCAAUUCGAGGCCGGAAAAUUUCUAUGGUUUCGUCGGUUUUCUUGAGUUCUCGGAGUCGCCAAUGAUGACAUGCAAGGUAAGGAAAUUAGUCUUCUCGUUGAGCUCUACGUUCCGAUAUAACUAGUUUUCGAUUUCGAUCGAGUUUUGAUGAAUUGAUAUUUUGGGACAUUGUUGACUGUCGUCGAGGUUGCUGUGCACGAUGGCGACUCUAGAGCUCCUUGGUUCGACUUUGCUACUGUUCGUGUCCUAGUGCGAGUAUUAAGGAUCGAUCAUUUGAAAAGCAGAAGUUGUAUUAAAUUAAAUCAAAGGUAAGCUUUUGGGUUGCGGUGAAUUCAAGUCGGGUUGAGCUUUAGUGAUUGAAUUCCAUUUUUAUCUUUAGUUUUAAAGUUUAUUGUCUGUGUUGAGUGACUUAUC
rnacentral:lncRNA from 1 species